rnacentral:rRNA from 1 species
GACGAACGCUGGCGGCGUGCUUAACACAUGCAAGUCGAACGGAAAGGCCCCUUUGGGGGUACUCGAGUGGCGAACGGGUGAGUAACACGUGAGUAACCUGCCCUUGACUUCGGGAUAACUUCAGGAAACUGGGGCUAAUACCGGAUAGGAAUCCUUGCUGCAUGGUGGGGGUUGGAAAGCUUCGGCGGUUUUGGAUGGACUGGCGGCUUAUCAGCUUGUUGGUGGGGUAGUGGCUUACCAAGGCUUUGACGGGAAGCCGGCCUGGGAGGGCGACCGGCCACAUUGGGACUGAGAUACGGCCCAGACUCCUACGGGAGGCAGCAGUGGGGAAUAUUGCACAAUGGGCGGAAGCCUGAUGCAGAAACGCCGCGUACGGGAUGACGGCCUUCGGGUUGUAAACCGCUUUCAGCAGGGGCGAAGCUUGUGGUGACGGUACCUGCAGAAGAAGCACCGGCUAACUACGUG